UAAAACAGUUAUAGUUUAUUUGACAAUCGAAUUUACAUGGAUAACCGUGGUAAUUCUAGAGCUAAUACAUGCUGGUGUGCCCGACUUUUUGGAAGGGCGGUAUUUAUUAGAUAACAAGCCAAUAUUCCUCGUGUCUAUUGUGGUGACUCAUAAUAACUGAUCGAAUCGCAAGGCCUAUGGCCGCGAUAAGUCAUUCAAGUUUCUGCCCCAUCAGCUUUCGAUGGUAGUGUAUUGGACUACCAUGGCGUUUACGGGUAACGGAGGAUUAGGGUUCGAUUCCGGAGAGGGAGCCUGAGAAACGGCUACCACAUCUAAGGAAGGCAGCAGGCGCGUAAAUUACCCAAUCCUGAUUCAGGGAGGUAGUGACAAGAAAUAACGGACCGAGGCCCUCGGGCUUCGGGAUUGCAAUGAGCCGAAUUUACACCCCUUAGCGAGGAUCGAUUGGAGGGCAAGUCUGGUGCCAGCAGCCGCGGUAAUUCCAGCUCCAAUAGCGUAUAUUAAAGUUGUUGCAGUUAAAAAGCUCGUA
rnacentral:rRNA from 1 species